AAUUGGUCAGAAGCUGAUGUCGCUCUCCUGAUGAUGCCAUGGCAGGCCGAAACCAAUU
rnacentral:hammerhead_ribozyme from 15 species